rnacentral:misc_RNA from 1 species
GUUUGUGAAUUUGCUUGACUUUAUCAUAAAUGUUAAUCAUUCAUUAAGCAAAUCAUCAAUUUAAAUGUUCAUUGUGCAUUUUCUGGACUUUCAAUAGCUUGUGAAAUCUAGUUCUGGGACUAGAUAGAUUAUACAUUCAACUUAUUCAACAUCCAUGUCGUAAAUUUGGACAAAUUGAAUUCUAAUAGAAUGAUUGGCUGGGAGCUUGGUAUUCGGCUUAAAAAUAAUUGGGCAGCG